GACGUUUUGGCUCAGUCGUUUCCACCGACCCUGGCGUGCCUUAGAGACCUGGAUCCAUUUGCCCAUAUUUCACGUCGAGCUAAUCAACGCGACGGAACAGUGAGGUCGACCGAUGCAACGCUGUAGAAAUUCCUACAUCCUGACACGCAAUCACCCUCGAUAACGGCGGAGAUAAAAUCCAAGCCAAAGUCCAGAGACCACAGUGCUGACGCCCUUGAUGACUUCACCUGCAGCCAUGGAGCAGAUGCUGGAAACACAGAGUUAUGAAGUGGUCCAAUUCCUCUGAAGCCAAUAAUCCAGCUGCCACUUUAAUGCUGGUACUUUAUAUCAAUCUUUUCAAAAUCAGAAACUCGCCAUAUUUCAGCAAAAAAAAAAAAAAAAAA